CAAAGGAUAUCCAUUACCUUGCACUAGAUAAGGGUGAAUUGGCACUAGCUGAAGUGGCAAGAAAAAGAGCUAGUGACAUUGAUGCAGAAUCGAUAGCCUCUGGAGUUGCCAAAGGGACCAACUGUCAUCUUCUCUCUGACAUUAUCACCAUAGAUCCCAGUCUUCAAGGUGGCACUGAAGGACUCAAAGCCAUACCACCAGUGUAGUUCUAAACCUGAAAACCAGGACUGACAAUUACUUACCAGUAAGAUAAUUCCAUUCUUCUUCCCCCACCCUGACAGAGUUCCAAAUUGAUUGAUUCCAAAAGGUGCAUAGGCCACUUUCGAAUCUUCAUUCCUAAUGCAUAAGGAAUAUGCACUAUUAAUACAAUAUUAGAUAAGAAUAACUAAUUGACCUAUCACUCACUAUACAGUCAUGCUCUGCAUAACAAGAUUUCAGUCAAUGAUGGACUGCAUAUACAACAAUGGUCCCACAAAAUUAUAAUAGCUAUACCAUAUAGACUAGGUGUGUAGUAGGCUAUACCAUCUAGGUUUGUGCAAGUACACUUUGUGACGUUAGCACAAUGACAAAAUCACGUAACGACACAUUUUUCAGAAUCGGUAUCCCCAUCAUUAAGCAACACGUGACUAUAUCUUGUUACCAUCUAAGUAUACUGAUGUGCCUCCUAAUAAUAAUAAUGGCUAAUAUUUAUUAAAUGUUUACUAUGGGCCAGACACUAUUCUAAGUUGUAGAUAUUAACUAAUUUAAUCCUCACCCCAAUUUGGUGAGGUAGGUACAAUAUUUAUUUGUUAUGAGCAGUCACUUUUAACUAAAUAAUGAGACCAUACCAUGUUAACAGGAAUUAUGAUACUGUAUGAUGGGGAUACCGAUAUCCUCCAUUCCUAUCUGUCUACUCAUUUAGGAAAACACAGCAGGAAGUUAAUUCAUAACCAAUAUUCUGGGAAUUUUUCAUAGUUAUCCUGUAUCCUGUCUUUUCCAUCCAAGUAUCAAAUAUAAUGAUAGCCAUCUUUAUAUUUUAAAGCUCUUUGAAGUUAUUAAUGGUAAAGGGGAAUGUAAAGAGAUUACCACAUAAUUUUAAAUAAUGGAAAAAUUCUAUCAUUCACCAAAAUGCACCCUAUGCCCUGUGUAUUCUCUGAGCAGGUUAUUAUGGCCAGCUGAUAAUUCCUGGCCGGAAAUCUUGGUGUUCCCCUUUUGAACCUUGCCUCACUUCUAGCAAAUAUCUUUUUGCUGAAGCCCUAUGACUCCCGUUUUUAAAUCCUUGUUUCAGGCCUCUCAGCCUUUGACCUAGAUUAUUAUCCCUUGACAAAGAUACCAUUCAGUAACAUCAUUAAUUAGCAAGAGGUUAACUUCUUAGAUGAAUGUUCUAUUCUCUUUUGUUCCAGAAAACUGGGUGACUCUCACUCACAAUUCCAAAUGGAAUUAGGAAAGAAUCUCUAGUUUCCUCAUCAUGAUCUCUGCCCAGCUGUACAAUGAAGCCCACAUCAUGCUGGGAGAAGCUAAUUUUUUUUCAAAUUCCCUAAAUUAAACUGUUUUAUCAAAUUUUCCUGAAGCAGAAAGUCAUUAAAUCUUGAUUUUCAAAGGGGUUCUUUGAUGCAAGAGACCAAAUUAUAUAAGAUAUCAAAAGAGUAUUUAAGUAAUUCAGUCUACACGGGAGAGUCAUAGUUUCUGUCCACACAGUUAAAAACAAAAGUUGCUGUAGGAAAAAAUGAAUGAUAAUAAUCUGAAUAAUUUGGUAAUUUUUCCUUAAACAUUUUGUUGAAAUAUAACCUACAUAUAGAAAAAUGCACAAAGUAUAUGACUCAGUGAGUUUUCACAAAGUGAACAUAUUCCUGGUAACCAGUAUCCAAACCAAGUAACAUAUGUUAUGUUACUUUCCCCCAGAAGACCUCCCAUAACCUCUUCAGGAUACCCCCAGCCCAACUGUCCAGACUUAUAACAUUAAAUAUUAGUUUUGCCUUUUUUUCAAAUUUUAAAUAAACAAAAUCAUACAUAUAUUCUUUUGUUUUGGGCUCCUUUUGUCAUUAUGUGUGUGAGAAUCUUUCAUAUUGUUGCAUGUAGCUGUAAAUCUUCCAGUCUAUUGCUGUGUAACACUAUUCCAAUGUAUGAAUAUUCUACAAUUGUAUUCAUUCCACUUUUGAUGGAUAUUUCAGUGGUUUCAAAUUUUACACUAUUGUGAAUAUUGUUGCUAUGAACAUUUUUGUGUAUUUCUUUAAAUGAAAAUACUUAUACAUAUCUGUUGGGUUUGUACUUAGAAGUGGAAUUUCUGUGACAUAAAAUAUGCAUUUGUUCAGCUUUAGUAGUUACUUCCAGUUUUCCAAAGUAGUUGUAACAAUUUACCUUUUCACCAGCAAUGCAUAAAAGUUUGAAUUUCAUCCAUCCUUAUUGAAAUAUUGUCUGUCUUUUCAUUUUAAUCUUUCUGGUGGAGAAGCCAUUGUAAUUUUGUAUAUGUAAGAGUAUAUGUAUGGACUGUUUCUGGAGUCUCUGUUCUAUUUCAUUAGUCUGGUUGUCUGUACUUGCACAAAUAUUUCACUGCUUUGGGCAACUCCGGCUUGAAAUCUUCUCUGGUAGUGGAUGUUGUCCAGCUUUGUUCUUCUUUAAAAUAGCCUUAGCUAUUCCUGGCCCUUUACAUUUCCAUAUAAAUUUCAAAAUCAACUUGCACUCCUGCACCCAAGGGAAAAAAAAAAAGAGGGGUGGUGUGCUGGAAUUCUGGUUGGAAUUCCACUUAGACAAAUUUGGACUGAACUGAUUUCUGUAUAAUACUGCGUUUUCCAAUCUAUAAAUAUGAUCUGUCCCUCCAUUUAUUUAGGUCUUCUCUAUUUUUUCUUAAAAAUGUUUUGUAGUUUUCACUAUAGUGGUCUUCCACAUCUUUCCUUAGAUUUAUCUUAAGUAUUUCUUUUUCUGCUUUGUAUGUGAUAAUCUUAUUUUUAAAUUUCAUUUUCUGUUUAUUUCUGGUAUAUACUGUAUACUAUUGUACUAUUUUUUAUUGACUUUGUGUCAACAACAGUGCUAAAUUCAUGUAUUAAUGCUAAUAGUUUAUAGAAUCUCUUGACAUUUUUUACAUCCCAAUCAUGUCAUCUGCAAAUAAAGACAGUUUAAUUCCUUCCUUUC